rnacentral:lncRNA from 1 species
GCCAGAUAAGGGAAGCAGGCCUCCGAAGCCAGCAGUGGCAACCCACUUGGGUCCCUUUCAAUGCUGUGGAAGCGUUGUUCUUUCACUCUUCUCAAUAAAUCUUGCUGCUGCUCACUCUUUGGGUCUGCCCCGCUGUUAUGAGCUGUAACACUCACAGCCAGUGUCUGCAGUUUCACUCCUGAAGCCAGCAAGACCACAAACCCACAGGGCGGGACAAACAACUCCGGACAGGAGGAAUGAACAACUCUGGACGCGCCACUUCUAUGAACUUUUAUGAACUGUAACACUCACCGCAAAGGUCUGCAGCUUCACCCCUGAGGCCAGGGAGACCACGAACCCACCGGAAGGAAUGAACAACUCCAGACGCACUGCCUUUAAGAGCUGUAACACUUACCACGGAUGUCUGCAGCUUCACUCCUGAAGUCAGCGAGACCACAAACCCAACAGAAGGAAGAAACUCCCGACACAUCUGAACAUCUGAAGGAACAAACUCUGGACACACCAUCUUUAAGAACUGUAACACUCACCGUGAGGGUCAACCGCUUCAUUCUUGAAGUCAGCCAGACCAAGAACCCACCAAUUCCGAGUCUCACUUUGUUGCCUAAGCUAGAGUGCAGCGUCGUGAUCAAGGCUCACUGCAGCCUCAACAUCCUGAUCCCCAGUGUUCCUCCCACCUCAACCUCCCAAGUAGCUGGGACCACAGAUGAAUGCCAGAUGCCUCUAGUGAGCCACCUUGAAUCACUAUUCUGAAUACAUCUUGAGUAAAAAGAGAAAAUUGCUCAUGUUUCCAUGUCUAUCUGAAUCAUGUUAUUGGACCAUGAGAGCAAGCAGCUGGAUCUCAUUCUGUCCAGGACUCCUGGAAACAGCAGCUCUAACAAAAUUGUCUUCAAUAAAUAAGUUUUUUUGCAUCACAUUUGUGUAUGUCCUGAAUGUUCUGAGCCCUUCAGAUUUGACUCAUAUUCAUGCUAAAAGAAAAAAUGCAAAUGAAAAUUGUAUAGCUAAUUAUGAGAAAAAUAAAGCAUCAUAAGAAAACCA